UAGGGAAUCUUCCGCAAUGGGCGAAAGCCUGACGGAGCAACGCCGCGUGAGUGAUGAAGGUCUUCGGAUCGUAAAACUCUGUUCUUAGGGAAGAACAAACGUGUAAGUAACUAUGCACGUCUUGACGGUACCUAAUCAGAAAGCCACGGCUAACUACGUGCCAGCAGCCGCGGUAAUACGUAGGUGGCAAGCGUUAUCCGGAAGUAUUGGGCGUAAAGCGCGCGUAGGCGGUUUUUUAAGUCUGAUGUGAAAGCCCACGGCUCAACCGUGGAGGGUCAUUGGAAACUGGAAAACUUGAGUGCAGGAGAGGAAAGUGGAAUUCCAUGUGUAGCGGUGAAAUGCGAAGAGAUAUGGAGGAACACCCGUGGCGAAGGCGACUUUCUGGUCUGUAACUGACGCUGAUGUGCGAAAGCGUGGGGAUCAAACAGG
rnacentral:rRNA from 1 species